GACGAACGCUGGCGGCGUGCCUAAUACAUGCAAGUCGAACGAACUCUGGUAUUGAUUGGUGCUUGCAUCAUGAUUUACAUUUGAGUGAGUGGCGAACUGGUGAGUAACACGUGGGAAACCUGCCCAGAAGCGGGGGAUAACACCUGGAAACAGAUGCUAAUACCGCAUAACAACUUGGACCGCAUGGUCCGAGCUUGAAAGAUGGCUUCGGCUAUCACUUUUGGAUGGUCCCGCGGCGUAUUAGCUAGAUGGUGGGGUAACGGCUCACCAUGGCAAUGAUACGUAGCCGACCUGAGAGGGUAAUCGGCCACAUUGGGACUGAGACACGGCCCAAACUCCUACGGGAGGCAGCAGUAGGGAAUCUUCCACAAUGGACGAAAGUCUGAUGGAGCAACGCCGCGUGAGUGAAGAAGGGUUUCGGCUCGUAAAACUCUGUUGUUAAAGAAGAACAUAUCUGAGAGUAACUGUUCAGGUAUUGACGGUAUUUAACCAGAAAGCCACGGCUAACUACGUGCCAGCAGCCGCGGUAAUACGUAGGUGGCAAGCGUUGUCCGGGUUUAUUGGGCGUAAAGCGAGCGCAGGCGGUUUUUUAAGUCUGAUGUGAAAGCCUUCGGCUCAACCGAAGAAGUGCAUCGGAAACUGGGAAACUUGAGUGCAGAAGAGGACAGUGGAACUCCAUGUGUAGCGGUGAAAUGCGUAGAUAUAUGGAAGAACACCAGUGGCGAAGGCGGCUGUCUGGUCUGUAACUGACGCUGAGGCUCGAAAGUAUGGGUAGCAAACAGGAUUUGAUACCCUGGUAGUCCAUACCGUAAACGAUGAAUGCUAAGUGUUGGAGGGUUUCCGCCCUUCAGUGCUGCAGCUAACGCAUUAAGCAUUCCGCCUGGGGAGUACGGCCGCAAGGCUGAAACUCAAAGGAAUUGACGGGGGCCCGCACAAGCGGUGGAGCAUGUGGUUUAAUUCGAAGCUACGCGAAGAACCUUACCAGGUCUUGACAUACUAUGCAAAUCUAAGAGAUUAGACGUUCCCUUCGGGGACAUGGAUACAGGUGGUGCAUGGUUGUCGUCAGCUCGUGUCGUGAGAUGUUGGGUUAAGUCCCGCAACGAGCGCAACCCUUAUUAUCAGUUGCCAGCAUUAAGUUGGGCACUCUGGUGAGACUGCCGGUGACAAACCGGAGGAAGGUGGGGAUGACGUCAAAUCAUCAUGCCCCUUAUGACCUGGGCUACACACGUGCUACAAUGGAUGGUACAACGAGUUGCGAACUCGCGAGAGUAAGCUAAUCUCUUAAAGCCAUUCUCAGUUCGGAUUGUAGGCUGCAACUCGCCUACAUGAAGUCGGAAUCGCUAGUAAUCGCGGAUCAGCAUGCCGCGGUGAAUACGUUCCCGGGCCUUGUACACACCGCCCGUCACACCAUGAGAGUUUGUAACACCCAAAGUCGGUGGGGUAACCUUUUAGGAACCAGCCGCCUAAGGUGGGACAGAUGAUUAGGGUG
rnacentral:rRNA from 1 species